ACGUCUUUUGCCACGCUCGGUCAGCCUUCGUUUAUUCCAACGACUGAUCUUGAGCCGGAUACCCUCGUUAUUUAUUCUCGAGCGUACCAGACAAGAAUAAACCAGCACAACAUUCUUUGAGUGCGAUACCUCCUGGCCUAUGGCGUGGAGCCCUUCGCAAUUUCUUGUUGUCACAUCC
rnacentral:snoRNA from 1 species